AAGUCGUAACAAGGUUUCCGUAGGUGAACCUGCGGAAGGAUCAUUAUCGAGAACGGGUCUACUCGGCCCAACCUCCAACCCCCUGUUUAACCACUCUUGUUGCUUUGGCGGGUCGCGGUAAAAACUUGUUUUUGCCCCGCUGGCUCCGGCCGGCGUGCACCCGUCAGAGACCCACAAACUCUUAAACUUUUUUACGUCUGAAUCAUAAAAUAUAAAUAAGCACAAAACUUUCAACAACGGAUCUCUUGGUUCUG
rnacentral:misc_RNA from 1 species